GAUGAACGCUGGCGGCGUGCCUAAUACAUGCAAGUAGAACGCUGAAGGAAGGAGCUUGCUCUUUCCGGAUGAGUUGCGUACGGGUGAGUAACGCGUAGGUAACCUCCUUGGUAGCGGGGGACAAACAUUGGAAACGAUAGCUAAUACCGCAUAACAGUAGAUGUUGCAUGAUAUCUACUUAAAAGGUGCAAUUGCACCACUAACAGGUGGACCUGCGUUGUAUUAGCUAGUUGGUGACGUAACGGCUCACCAAGGCGACGGUACAUAGCCCACCCCAGAGGGUGGUCGACCAGCCUGCGUCUGAGACACGGCCCAGACAUCUGCAGGAGGCAGCAGUAGGGAAUCCUCCGCGAGGGAGGGGAGGCUGACCGAGCACCGCCGCGGGAACGAAGAUGGAUCUCGGAUCGGUAAGCUCUGUUGUAAGAGAGGAACUAGUGUGAUGGUGUAAAGGUCACACUGUGACGGUAACUUAGCAGAAAGGGCCGGCUAACUACGUG
rnacentral:rRNA from 1 species